UGUCAUUUGGGUUGUGGUUGAAUGAAUUUCAGUGGUCGAAGUAGGUGUUUGAGAUGGUACAGGUCUUGUUGUUGUAACUGGAAAUGGAACCGUCGAUAUUGUAGUGGGAGACGAAGAUCUACCAAUUGAAAACAAAUGCCUACCCUCCAAUGGGGGAAAUCGCUACGUCAGAACAGGCACGGAAGGACUCUUGUGGUCCGCAGCCUAAUCUGCUCGUUUCAUCAGGACAAACUCCCCAUCGAUUACCCGUCACGUAAGUCCACUAUAUGUCAGGAUUGACAAGGAAGAGCGUUUGAACAUCAAAAUAUUGAAGGAACGGUAGCUAAUAGAUAUCUGUGGUAUUUACCUGGAUUACACAUUGACUACACGUCACUUCGGACGGCAACUGAAUUUGGAUUUGGUAGGUAGCUGCAGAUAGAUUCUCCAGGCUGAAUUUAGUAGUGGUGAAUCCCGUGCCAUCAACAAAAUUGAGUGGGUAUCUAUUUUUUUUUAAUUCGUAUUUUUAAAUGAUUUAGUUCUAACUAUUAUUCAUCAUAUCUAAAUACUAUUUUUACUGAUUGAAACAAAACAAGUGCCAUGAAAUAUUUGGGAUGGAAAAAAAAUAAUCAACUAACUUCUCGAAACAGUCUUGGGUAGGAUCUUUUUGUGGGUUGUUAUUUGGGCAGAGCUUAAAUUCGUAGAAUCCUCUGUGGGUAGCUGUUAUUUGAAUCGUCACGGAUAUAAUUUGCCCUUGUAUGUAAUUGCGCACAAUUGUUCCGGUGGCGAAAAUCCCACCUGGAGCCUCGUGUGGCUUAAUCACCUCGUCAUAUGGAUCACCGCACACCCCACAUCGGCCCGAGUUCACCAGCCAUUGCCUCUGUUGAUGUUUAAAUUUAAAUUUAUUAGGAACUUGGCGUCAGAAACAAACGCAUAGAAUUAAUGUACGUCAAAUCCGCCGCAAAAUCCCUCCACAUCCUAAUUAAAUCAGCGAAAGAAUUUUGGUUUUUCAUUACAUAGGUCUAUCAACAAAAACCAAAUUAUAAUUUCUAUAACUCACGUUAUAAUCUUUCGGUGUGUCGAAGCCUACUCGCCAAGCGGUAGAACGCGAUGGUGGGUCAAACAAUCUUCCGUGACCGUCAACUAAACUCACCUGUUGAUUUUUCCAAAUUUAAAUAGUAAUUAGUUUGAUUUAAAAAGUAUGACUAUACAUUGUAAUGAUAAAGAAUAUUACCAAUAUUGACGCAAGAAUAACCAAUCCGAUUGCUCUCCAUUCCAUUUGAGCCAGAAGAUUCAUCACUGUUACUGCUGAGAGAACGAACUGCUCGGGGUGAACCACAGUAUUGUUUUGAUCGGUAGCGUUCAAAUGUUCCAUACUGCAAGGAGAGUUCGGAACUUUUAUAGCCGAAGCAAAGCAGACCCGUUGAAACGCUGUCAAUUCGAACUGAAGUUGUCUGGAGACUGAAUGACCUGGAAGGGGGGAAAUCAUGCUCAGGCCAGACUAUGAUUUGGCGCGCGCACUCAGGACAGGUCGGCCGGAAUGUCAGAUACGCGCCUACAGUAAAAUCCAAGUUCGUCAUGGGCGCAGAAAAUCACCAGACAAGAUUGAAGACAUUUAUAGAACCACGGAAGUAUUCCAUAUUUGAUUAUAAUAAUCAAUAUCAUACAUUACCCGGGUGAAGCAGAC